rnacentral:rRNA from 1 species
CUGAUGCAGCCAUGCCGCGUGUAGUGAAGAAGGCCUUCGGGUUGUAAAGCUCUUUCAGUUGUGAAGAAGGGGGKUDCGUUAAUAGCGUUAUCUCUUGACGUUAGCAACACAAGAAGCACCGGSUAACUCCRUGCCAGCAGCCGCGGUAAU